GACGAACGCUGGCGGCGUGCCUAAUACAUGCAAGUAGAACGCUGAAGGAGGAGCUUGCUCCUCUGGAUGAGUUGCGAACGGGUGAGUAACGCGUAGGUAACCUGCCUGGUAGCGGGGGAUAACUAUUGGAAACGAUAGCUAAUACCGCAUAACAGUAGAUAUCGCAUGAUAGCUGCUUGAAAGGUGCAAUUGCACCACUACCAGAUGGACCUGCGUUGUAUUAGCUAGUUGGUGAGGUAACGGCUCACCAAGGCAACGAUACAUAGCCGACCUGAGAGGGUGAUCGGCCACACUGGGACUGAGACACGGCCCAGACUCCUACGGGAGGCAGCAGUAGGGAAUCUUCGGCAAUGGACGGAAGUCUGACCGAGCAACGCCGCGUGAGUGAAGAAGGUUUUCGGAUCGUAAAGCUCUGUUGUAAGAGAAGAACGAGUGUGAGAGUGGAAAGUUCACACUGUGACGGUAUCUUAC
rnacentral:rRNA from 1 species